rnacentral:lncRNA from 1 species
GAGGACGUGUGGAAAUCUUCUUGGGUCUCCCUGCUCGUUGGGAUUGAUUUGGCUCAAUACAAGUGCAGGUGGAUUUUCAGAAAUGCCUGAUGUUCAUUGCGAGGUCAGAUGGGAAGCCCAGCGCUGUUUGUCCACUUCUCUUUACUGUCAUCUCUCACUGUCCAGCGUGCUGGGCUUCGCUGUUCUGAAAAAUGGAUGUGGGCGCUUGACAGGUUGCUUUACUAGUCUGGUAGUGACACCACGUAGCUGUUGCUCCUCGAGCUCCGAAUACUUCAGUGGUGACCUGGGUGAAAUACAAAUAAACACACAAUUGGAUUGACCUAGCAUAUCAAAGAUCUUGGUAUGCUGAAAAUGUUUGUUUUUAGGAUGUUUGUGCAGUCUGAAGAGCUCUGUACCUUAAACCCAAUUUGCAGUGGACUGUGACCAUGUUUAAGCUGUGAAAAAUAAAAGAUCAACCCAAAG